rnacentral:tRNA from 1 species
GGAGAAGUACUCAAGUUGGCUGAAGAGGCGCCCCUGCUAAGGGCGUAGGUCGUGUAAGCGGCGCGAGGGUUCAAAUCCCUCCUUCUCCGCCA